AUGACUUUCCCCAUCCUCCAUUAUAGGUGUGAACAGCUGACACAGCCAGCCUCUGUGACUGUGCAGCCAGGUCAACGUCUGACCAUCAGCUGUCAGGUUUCUUAUUCUCUGGGCAGCUACUACACAGCUUGGAUCAGACAGGCUGCAGGGAAAGGACUGGAGUGGAUUGGGAUGAAAUAUGACAGCGGCAGCAUCUACUACUCUGACUCAGUGAAAAACCGGUUCACCAUCUCCAGAGAGAACAGCAGAAAUCAGGUGUAUCUGCAGAUGAACAGCCUGACAGCUGAGGAUUCUGCUGUUUAUUAUUGUGCUCGACAGCCACAGUGA